CCUACGGGAGGCAGCAGUGGGGAAUAUUGCACAAUGGGCGCAAGCCUGAUGCAGCCAUGCCGCGUGUGUGAAGAAGGCCUUCGGGUUGUAAAGCACUUUCAGCGGGGAGGAAGGCGGUGAGGUUAAUAACCUCAUCGAUUGCCGUUACCCGCAGAAGAAGCACCGGCUAACUCCGUGCCAGCAGCCGCGGUAAUACGGAGGGUGCAAGCGUUAAUCGGAAUUACUGGGCGUAAAGCGCACGCAGGCGGUCUGUCAAGUCGGAUGUGAAAUCCCCGGGCUCAACCUGGGAACUGCAUUCGAAACUGGCAGGCUAGAGUCUUGUAGAGGGGGGUAGAAUUCCAGGUGUAGCGGUGAAAUGCGUAGAGAUCUGGAGGAAUACCGGUGGCGAAGGCGGCCCCCUGGACAAAGACUGACGCUCAGGUGCGAAAGCGUGGGGAGCAAACAGGAUUAGAUACCCGAGUAGUC
rnacentral:rRNA from 1 species